rnacentral:tRNA from 1 species
AUCUAUUUAGUAUAUCAGUAUAUUUGACUUCCAAUCAAAAGGUUUGGGUACCCCAAAAUAGAUA